rnacentral:rRNA from 1 species
CCAGACUCCUACGGGAGGCAGCAGUGAGGAAUAUUGGUCAAUGGCCGAGAGGCUGAACCAGCCAAGUCGCGUGAGGGAUGACGGCCCUACGGGUUGUAAACCUCUUUUGCCGGGGAGCAAAGAGCGGGACGCGUCCCGCCUCGAGAGUACCCGGAGAAAAAGCAUCGGCUAACUCCGUGCCAGCAGCCGCGGUAAUACGGAGGAUUCAAGCGUUAUCCGGAUUUAUUGGGUUUAAAGGGUGCGUAGGCGGUCGGAUAAGUUAGAGGUGAAAUCCCGAGGCUCAACUUCGGAAUUACCUCUGAUACUGUUCGGCUAGAGAGUAGUUGCGGUAGGCGGAAUGUAUGGUGUAGCGGUGAAAUGCUUAGAGAUCAUACAGAACACCGAUUGCGAAGGCAGCUUACCAAGCUACUUCUGACGUUGAGGCACGAAAGCGUGGGGAGCAAACAGGAUUAGAUACCCUAGUA